UACGGAGGGUGCGAGCGUUGUCCGGAAUCAUUGGGCGUAAAGGGCGCGUAGGUGGCCCGGUGAGUCUUUGGUGAAAGCGCGGGGCUCAACCCUGCGUCGGCCAGGGAUACUGCCGCGGCUCGAGCGCUGUAGAGGCAGGCGGAAUUCCGGGUGUAGCGGUGGAAUGCGUAGAGAUCCGGAAGAACACCGGUGGCGAAGGCGGCCUGCUGGGCAGUGGCUGACGCUGAGGCGCGACAGCGUGGGGAGCAAACAGG
rnacentral:rRNA from 1 species